UUGAUAUGAUGAUUUUCUUCUCACGAUGGUCUUCAUAGCACCCUUGGUGAGGGAGCAAUGCUGAGACUGCCUAUUGGCAUUAACUGAUCAAGCCAC